rnacentral:rRNA from 1 species
AGAGUUUGAUCAUGGCUCAGGAUGAACGCUGGCGGCGUGGAUAAGGCAUGCAAGUCGAACGGACUAGUCCCAUGAAAUCACAAGAAACUUUGAGUAGCAAUACGAUUGGAAUCGAGUGAUGAAUUGGGGUUUCUAGUUAGUGGCGAACGAGGUAGUAAUACAUAGGUACUUCCCCCAAAGUCUUGAAUAAUCUAUCGAAAGGUAGACUAAUACAAGAUGGUCCCGUAAGGGUAAAGAAUUUCGCUUUGGGAAAGGCCUGUGCGAUAUCAGCUAGUUGGUAGUGUAAUGGACUACCAAGGCUAUGACGUCUAGGGGAGGUGAGAGCCUGACCCCCACCGAUGGUACUGAGACACGGACCAUACACCUACGGGUGGCUGCAGUCGAGAAUCUUCCACAAUGGACGAAAGUCUGAUGGAGCGACGCCGCGUGAUUGAUGAAGCCCCUCUGGGGCGUAAAGAUCUUUUAUGAGGGAAGAAGUUUAUUGACUGUACCUCAUGAAUAAGAGGCUCCUAAUCUCGUGCCAGCAGGAGCGGUAAUACGAGAGCCUCGAGCGUUAUCCGGAAUUAUUGGGCGUAAAGGGUACGUAGGUUGUUUUGUUAGUCUUUUAUUAAAGCCCCGAGCUUAACUUGGGAUAUGUGAAAGAAACGGCAAGACUAGAAAGUGCGAGAGGUGAAUGGAACUCAUGGUGUAGGGGUGAAAUCCGUUGAUAUCAUGGGGAACACCAAAUGCGAAGGCAAUUCACUGGCGCAUAUUUGACACUCAAGUACGAAAGCGUGGGUAGCGAAUGGGAUUAGAUACCCCAGUAGUCCACGCCCUAAACGAUGAUCUCUCGGUUUUCGGAGUAUCGACCCUCUGAGAGCCUUAGCUAACGCGUUAAGAGAUCCGCCUGGGAAGUACGGCCGCAAGGCUAAAACUCAAAGGAAUUGACGG